rnacentral:rRNA from 1 species
ACGCCUGCCCAGUGACUUUAUGUUUAACGGCCGCGGUACUCUGACCGUGCAAAGGUAGCGUAAUCACUUGUCUUUUAAAUAAGGACUAGUAUGAAUGGCAUCACGAGGGCUUAGCUGUCUCCCUCAUCUAAUCAGUGAAACUGAUCUCCCUGUGAAAAAGCAGGGAUAAAUACAUAAGACGAGAAGACCCUAUGGAGCUUUAAACCAAAAACUACCUGUUUAAUCUACUAUACUAAAAAUAAUACUAAAAUAACUGAUCUAGCUUAGGUUUUCAGUUGGGGUGACUGUGGAGAAAAAUAAAUCCUCCACGCAGACUUAAGCUUUGAGCAACCGCUCUACGCAUUAGCAAGUCUAACUGCACUUGAUCCAAUAUUUUUGAUCAACGGACCAAGUUACCCUAGGGAUAACAGCGCAAUCCAUUUCAAGAGUCCAUAUCGACAAAUGGGUUUACGACCUCGAUGUUGGAUUAGGACACCCAAGUGGUGCAGCCGCUACUUAAGGUUCGUUUGUUC